ensembl:lncRNA
CAGCCCCACUCUGCCCCAGCCCAGCCCAGCCCAGCCCAGCCCAGCCCAGCCCUACCAGUCCCACCAGGUGACGUCAUCAGGCCAGAGGCAGCCAACACCCAGCCACAGAGGACUAGGCAGGCAGCAGGAAACGCCACAAAUCAUCCAGCUGAGCUCCGGCUGAGACACGGCCCAGCUCCGGCUGACACGCGGCCCAGCUCCGGUUGAGACGCGGCCCAGCAAGGCCUGGUGAGUGGGGCCCUGCCCCCGGCUUCCUCUUGGUGGACGGGCAUCUGCGUCUCCCACGAUCACCUCCAGAAGGGAGUAAAGGGGUGUGUAUGCCCGCCCGCGCGUGCUCACCUCCAGAAGGGAGUAAAGGGGUGUGUAUGCCCGCCCGCCCGCCCGUGCGUGUGUCAGUCGCUAGUUUCUCUUGGCAGGGGGAUUUGGGAGUGGGAGUGUUUCUCUGCAGAGAGUCAGAACCUACUCAACAUGACGCACACAAUGACGCCUGGAGGGAAAAAAACAAACAUCUGUUUGUUUGGUAUCCUGGGGAUAAACACUGCUGUUUGUGUGUGUGUGUGUGUGUGUGUGUGUGUGUGUGUGUGAGGUCAACCCUGAGAAAGUGCCUUGAGGGUCUUUCCCAUAGAGGGCAGAGAGUGGAGUCUGUACUCCUCCACCACCGCAGGCCCCGGAGCUGGGCUGGGCUUCCCCUGAACCUACCCAGGGAUCAGGCACUUUCUCUGGGGCUGGCCGUCGGAGCACAGGGCCUCACUGCAGUGGGCGUCUGGCCGUCGGAGCACAGGGCCAUCGGAGCACAGGGCCUCACUGCAGUGGGCGUCCCAGUCAUGGGUGUGAUGGCGAGCAGACGCUACGGGCUCUGUGUGGGAACAGGACUUUCAAACAAAUAAACAAGAAAAAAAAACUAGAGAGAGAGAGAGAUGGAUGAGAGGGGACAUCAGCUGUUCCUUAAAAUUCUCUCCAACCUCAAGUUCAGCCCCACUCUCACACACACACACACACACACACACACACACACACACUUGAAGAGUAUGGCACAGUGAGUUGUUCAGAUGGGCUUGUGCGCUGCAAUCAGUUCCUAUCUACACGGAUCUCUUCCUGCUCCGGGCCUAUGGAGCACACCACGAUCCUGUGCUGCCACCUAGUGUCCCAUGAAAGCAUUACAGAAGACUCACUACAGGGGCUGAUGGAAAAUCUUUUUUCUUUUUUGAAACUGGUUCAGCACAAGGUGUCAUAACAUCAGCAGACAAAAUGAAACAAAGAUGGAUGUACACAGGCCCAGACACACAAACACACCCCCAUGCUAACCCACACACACACACACACACACACACACACACACACACACACACACACACACACACACACACACACACACACACACACACGCUAACCCACACAUACACAUAAACAUAAACAUAAACACACACACACACACACACACACACACACGCACAAAGACCAACAAUGCCAAAAAAAAGUGCAUCCAAACACAUUGAUGGACUGGUUGUUUUCCGUGUGUCAUAUGCAUAUUUUAUUUGGGGUCAGGGGUCAGUCACUGCAGGCGUCUGCUCUGCACCGUUUGGGUGCGUUCUGACUCUGGCUCCGGGGUCAAGGUCAACCGGGGUCGUCUGACUCGAGCACUGCCGCACGAACCAGCCGGCUCCGGCCCGGGUCCGGCCCGGCUGUGGUCCAGCUCCGGUCAGGCCCAGAUCCCGUCCACCAGAUCCAGGUUCUGUCUGGGAGAGGUCAGAGGUCAGGGUGGUUUGGCUCCGCACUGUACCACACUACUCUGGACCAGACCGGUGCUCCAUCAGUGCCAGCUCCCUCCCUUCCAGGCCUGGCCCAAAGUCGUCUGGGGUAUCUUCUGUGGAGGGGGGGGGG